UGGAUGCAAACGCUAAAUUUUGUGAAGGUACAGUCUGUAUAAAUCUUCUUUUAAAUAAACUACCAAUGCUUUUUCAAAUUUCUCAAUGUCUCGUUUUAAAUGUCAGGGCCCUCAGAAGUCUACCAAUUAAGUGUGGAGCUACUUUGAGCCUCGUAAAUGGUGUAAAAUAGUGAUUUAUUUGCAUGGCUAGCCCGAUGCCCG